AUCGCUUCUCAUCCUUUUGGCUAAGAUCAAGUGAUAAGAUCUGUUCUUAUCAGUUUAGUAUCUGGCAUGUCCUCUAUCCAAGGACAUUAUAUUAAAUGGAUAUUUGGAGCAGGGAGUUGGAAUUGGAGCUUGCUCCGUCCACUUCACGUAUCGACCUGGUAUUGCAGUACUUACAGGAAUGAUGCACAAAAA